AUUGAACGCUGGCGGCAGGCUUAACACAUGCAAGUCGAGCGGAGCGAGGGUGCUUGCACCUUAGCUUAGCGGCGGACGGGUGAGUAAUGCUUAGGAAUCUGCCUAUUAGUGGGGGACAACAUUCCGAAAGGAAUGCUAAUACCGCAUACGCCCUACGGGAGAAAGCAGGGGAUCUUCGGACCUUGCGCUAAUAGAUGAGCUUAAGUCGGAUUAGCUAGUUGGUGGGGUAAAGGCCAACCAAGGCGACGAUCUGUAGCGGGUCUGAGAGGAUGAUCCGCCACACUGGGACUGCGACACGGCCCAGACUCCUACGGGAGGCAGCAGUGGGGAAUAUUGGACAAUGGGGGGAACCCUGAUCCAGCCAUGCCGCGUGUGUGAAGAAGGCCUUAUGGUUGUAAAGCACUUUAAGCGAGGAGGAGGCUACUGAGACUAAUACUCUUGGAUAGUGGACGUUACUCGCAGAAUAAGCACCGGCUAACUCUGUGCCAGCCGCCGCAGUAA
rnacentral:rRNA from 1 species